ensembl:rRNA 5S_rRNA 5S ribosomal RNA
GUCUACGACCAUACCAUCCUAUACGCGCCCGAUCUCAUCUGAUCUCGGAAGGUAAGCAGGGUCGGGCCUGGUUAGUACUUGGAUAGAAGACUGCCUGGGAAUACCGGGUGCUUUCGCUU